GGGCCCUUAGCUCAGUUGGUUAGAGCAGCUGACUCAUAAUCAGCGGGUCGCAGGUUCGAACCCUGCAGGGCCCA
rnacentral:tRNA from 1 species